UGGGAGGAGACUGCUUAAAAGCGGGUAGAGAGCACCUGUCUUCCUUUUUUGGCUUGUCAGAGGCUGGGUCGUAGCACUUCCUGGCAUUCCCCCAGUUCCGUCCUGGCGUGGUGGUAGAGGCCAUUGGGGGUGCGCUAUGCUCCACUGAUUGCUCGCUGCGGGUUGUUUCUGUGCAGCGUUUAUUCCUCUCCUCCACGCUGUGUCGUCCAGGACUGCCUGAUUGGGGGAAGUAUAAUCCAGCUGCUGCGCAGUGUCGGCCGAUCAGCGAGGGAAACCACUGCUGCUUUGCCGGGGAUUGUUGGCUGCAACCGCGGCUAACAGCUUUGCCUCAUACCGGAGAUCGUUGGCUGUAACAGCGACUAACUGCUCUGCCUCAUACCGGAGAUCGUUGGCUGUAACAGCGACUAACUGCUCUGCCUCAUACCGGAGAUUGUCGUUGGUGACAGAGAUUGCCCGCUUCCGCUUUGCGCUGGAUACGGCGUGCCGUCAGCGGGAUUAACUGCUUGUCUCGCCUUGGGCUCGAUUGCUUCGCCCCGGGCCUGCGCCGUCCCACUGCAGCCGGCUUGGCCUCUGGCUGGCCGUUCGGCUGGUUGGAGCUUCUCCCUGCGGUGUAGCCGAUAUACAUCCAUAUGUAUAUGUUUGCGUGCACUAUUGUGUGCGUGUGUGUGUGUAUGGCGACGAGUGAGUAGCGGGAGAUUAUUCUGGUGUGUGUGUAUGUGUUUAUAGUUUCGUUUUUUCCUUUUCGUUUGUUUUAUUUUCUUGGUUAGUGGUUGUUUGUUUUUCUUUUUAUAACCUGUUGAUUUUUGUGGUUUCCCCCAUUCAG